rnacentral:rRNA from 1 species
GAUCAGACUUUGAUCUGGCUCAGAUUGAACGCUGGCGGCAGGCCUAACACAUGCAAGUCGAACGGUAACAGGAAGUGCUUGCACUUCGCUGACGAGUGGCGGACGGGUGAGUAAUGCUUGGGAACUUGCCUUUGUGAGGGGGAUAACAGUUGGAAACGACUGCUAAUACCGCAUAAUGUCUACGGACCAAACGGGGCUUCGGCUCCGGCGCAAAGAGAGGCCCAAGUGAGAUUAGCUAGUUGGUAAGGUAAAGGCUUACCAAGGCAACGAUCUCUAGCUGUUCUGAGAGGAAGAUCAGCCACACUGGAACUGAGACACGGUCCAGACUCCUACGGGAGGCAGCAGUGGGGAAUAUUGCACAAUGGGGGAAACCCUGAUGCAGCCAUGCCGCGUGUGUGAAGAAGGCCUUCGGGUUGUAAAGCACUUUCAGUUGUGAGGAAAAGUUAGUAGUUAAUACCUGCUAGCCGUGACGUUAACAACAGAAGAAGCACCGGCUAACUCCGUGCCAGCAGCCGCGG